rnacentral:lncRNA from 1 species
UACACAAUUAGCCAAAAAAGCCGAAAUCUUGCUUUCCCAGCUGGUGCUUGUCCUACAAUAGGUGUUGGUGGACAUUUCAGUGGUGGCGGCUAUGGAACCUUGUUGCGUAAAUAUGGUUUAGCCGCGGAUAAUGUAAUCGAUGCUCACAUAAUUGAUGUGAAAGGUAGGUUACUUGACAGAGAAGCAAUGGGUGAAGAUUAUUUUUGGGCUAUUAGAGGUGGUGGAGGAGCAAGUUUUGGAGUCAUAAUUUCAUGGAAGAUAAAACUUGUUGAAGUUCCAGCAACAGUGACGGUGUUUACAGUUCCAAGAGCAUUGGAACAAAAUGCAACAAAGCUUGUUCACAAGUGGCAGUAUUUGGCAAGUAAAAUUGAUGAAAACAUAGCCAUCAAUAUUGUCUUUCAAAGGAUAAAUUCAAGUAAAAAAGGCGAGACAACAAUUCUAGCUAUAUUUCAAGCCUUGUUUCUUGGAGGUGUAGAUAAACUCAUUCCCUUGAUGGAUCAAAAGUUUCCUGAGUUGGGUGUGGUCAGAGAAAAUUGUAUUGAAAUGAGUUGGAUUGAAUCGGUUCUUUACCUUUUUCAAUUUCCGAAAGGUGCAUUACCUGAAGUGUUGCUUAACAGAACACUAGCUGCAAACAGCCCAAGAUUUAUUUACAAAGCAAAAUCUGAUUUUGUGAAAACUCCCAUUCCUGAAAAUGGAUUAGAAGGAAUAUGGUCUUUGUUUCAUGAAGAAGGUGCCAAAGGUGCAAUGAUGAUAUGGUUUCCUUAUGGUGGAAUAAUGGAUACUAUUUCAGAGUCUGAAAUUCCAUUUCCACAUAGAAAAGGAAAUUUAUAUCAUAUUCAUUACCAGGUUGAUUGGCAACAGGAAGGUGAUGAGGUGGAAAAACUGCACAUUAAUUGGAUUAGAAAACUUUAUAAUUACAUGGAACCUUUUGUUUCAAAGUCUCCAAGAGCUGGAUACAUCAAUUAUAGAGACCUUGAUAUUGGUGUGAAUAACAUUGAUGGAUACACAAGCUACAAGCAAGCUAGUAUCUGGGGUGUUAAAUACUUCAAGAACAAUUUCAGAAGAUUGGCAAAUGUGAAGACCAAAGUUGAUCCUCUAAACUUCUUCAGAAAUGAACAAAGUAUACCUUCUCUUGUGUCCAAGGGACACAAAUAAAUUAAUUGGAGUAGCUAAGGUCACGAUAAUAAAAAAUAAGCUGUUUUGUUAUUUCUCUUUUAUAUGUGUAUCUUUUCUUUAUAAAUAAAGGUUUAGGGGAGUGGGGUCUAGAGCUAAGGGGUAAAGGCUUCAAGGCUCAAAGAGCAUUUUUAGAGAGAUAAUUACAUAUUACAUGCCAACAAGGUCUUCUUCAAUCGGGAGCAAGAAGAUUUCCACAUCUUUUUUGGAUGAGUAUCUGAUGCAGCAUUCAUCAACCCCUAGAUAUUCUAUGUGUGUAUUUAUUUUUACAUGUUUGUUUACUUUUACUUAAAACAAUGAUACUUGAAUAAAUUACUAAAGUUUGGUGUUAAACUUGACAUAUAUUUGUGUUUAUUGAAAGGAUAUUCCUGCGAAAACUGCUGGUUACACCCCCUAUAUUUGUAGUUAGCCCUUUGACACCAUUUAAUCAACAAAAUGGCCAAAGAAUGCCUAUAACUAGCCGGUAACAGUUGCUAAAACUUUCGAGAUACAUGCUCAUAUAUCUUCAACGACAACUUUGAAUGACAUCACAAGUUAGCUAAACUAUCAGUACAUUUAUUAGUUUCUCGGAAAAUAUGCUUAAUUUUGGCCUCAUGAUCUUCUUAUUGGGAACAACAAGACCUCACCCAUUAGUCGCGCUUACAUACUUGCCCUACAAACAAUCAACUACAUUAACUUUAGAAUCCAUAAGAAGCCUCCUACAUGUUAAAUAUCUUUUUCUUGUGAAUUGAAGACCCUCUUAUCAUCUACUCCUAUGCUGGUCAGAGUUAUACCGAAAAAAUUGGACAAACCUCAAAUUUAAGCACCAUUUGCAUCCCUUAACACCCCUCCGAAACAUGUUAACCUAGAAUUUUGAUGAGCACGAUCCGUAUUGAUAUGAACGCAUCCUGGCAGGGGCAGUUUCCAGUUGAUACUCAUACACGUCUUCAUCUUUAUCGUUGGUUGAAAUAAGGCAGCAUCAUUAUGGUAGUCACUCACUUGUUUGAAAACAACAAUCCGAAGUUUGUUACGUAAAUUCUAGGAUAAGUAUGUUUAAGUAAAUUCUGUUCAAGUACACUUUUGGUGAGAUUUGAGAAUUUGAUAGAGUUUGGGAUAAUUUGGCUUAUUUUGGCUUUUUAAAACCUGCCAUGAUGUUACUUAGAAUUAUGGGAUGAAACUAUAAGUUGUAUUCCAUGCUCUGUUGUAAACAUUUUGAGAAUUACAUAAGUAUUUAUAUUGUUUACUGUUUUUAUGCAUUUCGAAUUUCAAUUUGUUUGGAAAAGAUAUAUUUGCACACAGUUUUUUAGAACUAGCAUGCUCAUGUUCUUGUAUAAAAAAAAAAAAAAAAAUCAAAAUGCUCAUAUAACAUGUUGGCUGGACCACCUUCAUGUUGUUCAACCAUCGCAAGUCCUCGUCUCCAGCUAUGAAAUGACGACUUGGAAGGCAACUAUUCCAGACUGGAUCAAGGUCCAAUCCUAAAGUGUGAAGGCUUAAUAAAGAUUCUGAUCCAAAUAUGGAUCACCUACUCCUACAUAAAUAAGGCUGCAAAACAGAGAAAGGGAUUACUCGGAUCACAAUCACACGAUUACUCGGAUCACAUGUCCAGACUGGAUCUAGGUACUCUUAUCACAAUCACACGAUUACUCGGAUCACAUGUCCGAGAAAGCACAACCGCCUAACAUCCUCGUGCUUACGCGGAAACUUCAACCGUCUAUAAAAAAGGAGUCACCCACUCUAAAAAAUUAGCACACUCUCAUUUAAAAAAAGCCUCUUUAUUACAAGUACAUCAUUUUGCUCCGGUGAAAGACAACCGCAUCCCACCUACUCUGGUCGUCGUCCUUACACUUUCUUUUCCACUUGAAAUGUAUAAUUUAAAGACUAAACUAAUUAAUUAAGUGGAUUGGAUUGAACCAAGUUAUAUUCUCUCCAAUUGUCAAUUGCAUACUACAAAACUAUUAUUUUUUUGUGCAAGUUAACUCUUUAUUAAAGCUUUGUUUUAAACAUAUUUCCUUGUCUCUGAAUUGGACUACGAUGUUUAAACAAGAAUUAAUACUUAAAUAUGUUUCUGAUAGAUGAGUUCAUUUUUAUAUAUUGAAAUAAGAAGCAUGCUCCCAAUUAGCUCGCUUUCUUUAUGCAAAAUUUAGAAUGGUAGUAAGUAGCAACAACCACUUCUUAUCAAAUAAAAAAUUGAUUUCAAUGAAGUUAGAUAAAACAACAAAAGAAAAAACACCAUACCCUGCCGGCUUAACAGGGAGAACUAUUGUAUAAAAUUGAAAAAGUCAAGAUUCAAAUGUGUAGUUUCACAUGCUUGACUUGUCUACCAUAGUAGUUUUAGCAGAUACUUUAUUUAGGAGAUAAGCGUUUGAGAAAUUUUUCAUAAGUUGUUUUUCAACUUAUUUCUAUAAAAAUUCCUAGGAUAACUUAUGAUAACGGUUUAUAAUAUAUGAAAACAGACUGUUUUAUUCUUUCUUUUUUGUAAUAUAGUUUAUAAAAUGAAACGAAAAAAAUUAUACGUAAGCACUUAUUUGAUAAGCGGUUAUGUAAUAAGUGUUUAAUUUGUCUAUCCACUGUAGAUUUAUUCUCUACACCCACUAGAGUCUAAAAUCUAGCACAAGUGGUUGGUGCGAAGUUUAAAAAAAUGAAACAAAAUAAAGUUUACAUAAGCACUUAUUUAAUAAGCGGAUUAUAGAUUUCAACUCCAAAUUAUUCUAUAUACCAAUAAAAAUUAGAGCAUAGAGUGACACUUAUAAAUUUGAAGCAUCUUAUGCACAACACUACACUAACAAAAAAAUGAUGCAUCUAGGCUCAUACUUGUCUAUUGUACUAAUUGCUAUUUUAUUUUCAUUUACAUCUUCAGCAAUUGGUACUACUACUACUACUAAUGAAGAUAAUAGCUUCCUUCAAUGUCUCUAUAGCUAUUCACAUAACUCCACUUCAAUCUCUAAAGUUGUGUACACCAAAGCCAAUUCAUCAUACACAUCAAUACUCCAAUUUUCAACUCAAAAUCUCAGAUUUGCAACCAACAAAACACCAAAACCACUUGUAAUUGUCACACCUCUAGAAAUUUCCCAUAUUCAAGCAACCGUAAUUUGUUCCCAAUACCACAGCCUGCAGAUUCGAAUUCGCAGCGGCGGUCACGACUUUGAGGGUCUGUCUUAUGUCUCUGAAGUUCCAUUUGUUGUCAUUGAUCUCAUAAACUUCAGAGAAAUUGAAAUAAAUGUACACAAAAAAACUGCAUGGGUUCAAUCUGGUGCAACACUUGGUGAACUUUACUACGCAAUUAGCCAAAAAAGCAAAACUCUUGGUUUCCCUGCAAGUGUUUGUCCUACUGUAGGUGUUGGGGGACACUUCAGUGGUGGUGGAUAUGGAACCUUGUUGCGUAAAUACGGUCUUGCAGCCGAUAACAUCAUUGAUGCCUACAUAAUUGAUGUGAAGGGUAGGUUUCUUGACAGAGAAGCAAUGGGUGAGGAUUUCUUUUGGGCUAUUAGAGGUGGUGGAGGAGCAAGUUUUGGUGUCAUAGUUUCAUGGAAGAUUAAACUUGUUGAAGUUCCAUCAAUUGUGACAGUGUUUACUGUUCCAAAAACAUUGGAACAAAAUGCAACAAAGCUUGUUCACAAGUGGCAAUUUUUGGCAAGUAAACUUGAUGAAAAUAUAGCCAUGAAUAUUGUCUGGCAAAGGGUAAAUUUAAAUUCAAGUAAAAAAGGUGAGUCAAAGUCACCGGUACUAGUUUUAUUUCAAGCUUUGUUUCUUGGAGGUGUAGAUAAACUCAUACCCUUGGUUCAAGAGAAGUUUCCUGAGCUUGGUUUGGUUAGAGAAUAUUGUAUUGAAAUGAGUUGGAUUGAAUCUGUUCUUUACUUUUUUCAGUUUCCAAAAGGUUCUACACCUGAAGUGUUGCUUAACAGAACACAAGCUACACUUGAUAUAUUCAAAGCAAAAUCUGAUUUUGUGAGAAUUCCAAUUCCUGAAACUGGAUUAGAAGGCAUAUGGCCUUUAUUUGAUGAAGAGGGUUCCAAAGAUGCAAUGAUGAUAUGGUUUCCAUAUGGUGGCAAAAUGGAUACUAUUUCAGAGUCUGAAAUUCCAUUUCCUCAUAGAAGUGGAAACUUAUUCAUGAUUCAAUACUCGGUUCAUUGGCAUCAAGAAGGUGAUGAGGUGGAAACACUGCACAUUAAUUGGAUUAGAAAACUGUAUAGUUAUAUGGAACCUUUUGUUACAAAGUCUCCGAGAGCUGCAUAUAUUAAUUACAGAGACCUUGAUAUUGGUGUGAAUAACAUUAAUGGGUACACAAGCUAUAAGGAAGCUAGUAUUUGGGGUGUUAAGUACUUCAAAAAUAACUUCAAAAGGUUGGCAAAAGUUAAGACUAAAGUUGAUCCUCUAAAUUUCUUCAGAAAUGAACAAAGUAUACCUUCUCAUGUGUCCAAGGGACGCAAAUAGAGUUUUCUGGAGUGGCAUAGGUCAUAAUGAUAAAAUAGUAGCUGCUUUGUUAUUUAUCUUUUAUAUGUGUAUCUUUUCUUUGUUAUAAUAAAAGUAAAUUGAUUUUUAUUUGUGUGUAAAGCAUCAAUCCUACGGGGUUUGGUGUGUGUAUUUGUAUUAAUAUAUAAUAUAUAAUAUAUGAGAUAUAUCACUUAUCAUAUGUGGAUAAAUAUCGCUCCAAACUUUUAUUUAAUGUUCUUUAUACAGGGGUGCCCUUGAGGAUGGGUGGGUGGGAGGGGCGGCAGUCCAGGGCACCAAAAUUAUUAUUUUUACUUAAUAGUUAGUACAAUAUAGAUAUAUGAUAAGAGUUAAAUACAUAUAUUUUAGGCACUUUAAUUACUUGUUUUACAAGUUAUCUCAUGAAAAGCUCCAAAAUAAUAGAUAAAUGGAAUUUUAUGCUUUUUAUGUCUAAUACCAACCAAGUAUGUAGGAAUUUGCUUGCCAAGGGAUUUAAAGAUCAAAGAAAGUGAAGAAAAUAAGAUGUUGUUAUCGUGGCUAAGCUAGAAAAUCAGAUGAUGUCACCAUGGCCACGACGAGCCUGCAGCGAGGCCAUGGCCAUGAGGCUCGCCACAACGAGCCUGCAAUGGAGUCACAACGAAACAAGUCAUAGAUCAUGGAAAUCCUGCAAAAUUGUGUGUGGCUAAGCGAUCCUGGGCGUCGCCAUGGCGAGCAAAGGCGGUUUUGACAGCUCCAAUGUUGAUGUGGCAGAAAUCCACUGGUGAAGAAAGCUUCGCUCACCACGGUGAGCCUGGGUGUGACUAAGUUACGGUGCAAUUUUUCAGAAAGUAUAUAAAUAGCCCCAAACCUCAGAACAAGUGGAAUUAUGUCAUUUUUAGGGAGAGGAAAACAGAGAAACAUAGAGAGACCCUAAAAACAAAGCGUAGUAUAAAUGAUUUUUUAGAUUAAGAGUUUACUCACAAAGAUUUUUUAUGGAAACUUACUCACAAAGAUACUCAUUAUUAUUCGCAAAGAAAAUGAUAAAACAAAUGAAAAAAGAAACCUCAACCCAUGGCCGAAAAGAAUAAUUAAACGGGUGUUUGUGCACAUAGUUGUCGUUGUCGUUUUAAGUAUCUUGAUAUUUUUGGGGUGUUAAAGACCAAUUUUUAAAGUUAGAAGAGCAAUUUCCAACUACUAAAACCCUUAUUUCUCUAUUUCGGUGCCUAAACGGUGAAAUAAGUUUGGAGGUUUUGUGUUUAUUGCUAGUUACACCCACCUUCGUCUUCUUAGUUACACCUAGUCACCAUUUCAUCAACAAAAUGCACAUCCUUUUAAGUCCUUCAAUAAUUUUUCUUAAACCUCCCCUAAUAUUUUCUAUCGACAAAUUUAGUCCCCAGUCCUUAAAGGUUAUACACAUGGCAGUGUAUAGAGGGUCUAAAAAUAAAAAAGGACGAACUUAUAGUGACAAAAAAUUUGUUAAAAUAAGUUUUUGAUUGUUAUAAAUAUAUCAUUUUUCAUUUGUAAUCUCUUUAUAGUAUAACUUAUUUAAAUGGUGAAGAUCAAAUUUAUUGUCGAAAAAAUAUUUGAAGGAUCAUCGUUUAGAAAAUAAAUAAAUUAGAGGGACAAAAUAUGAAAAAUGGUAUCAUUUAAAUUAAAAAAUAACAUAAUACAUAAAUACAAUGAAAUACAAUAAAAAAAUUCGCAUAUGAUCGUCUUUCCGUUGGUAAUAAUAAUAUAAUAAUCUAUAACUUUAUGUUUGGCUUGACUUAUUUUGUAUUAAAAACUACUUUGAAAGUAAAGAUAAAGAUAUCAGAUUUAAAAAUAGAAUUAAGGUUUACUUUUCUCACAAUUAUUGUUAUGAGUAUCUGUUACCUUAAAAUAUAUUGUUUUUAUGGAAUGAUAGUUUUUUUUUUUUUUUUUUUUUUUUUUUUUUUUUUUUUUGUAAAUCAAAGCAUCUCUGUGAACAACGUCAUAUAUUAAUUCCUUAAUGUAAGAAAAAAAUUAUUUAAGAGAUAGAUCUCUUACAACAACAACAACAAAAUUUUCAUUCUCAUAUGUUAGGAUUGAAUUUUGAACCAAAUGAUUAAAAGACUUAACUAUCUAUCAUUUAUGUCACAUUAUUUGGUGCAAUGGUAGAAUUUAACUUAAAUACUUAAUAUUUCAUCUGUCCUAAAAUUAUUGACCUACUUACUUGGUCAUCCCAAAAUUAUAAAUGAAAGAGAGAUAAAUAUUUUUACUAAAGUGCCCUAUCAUGUAUUGAUCUAAUUGUAAGUAUCAUAAAUACAAAGUAUAAAAAAUAUCCAAAAUUAUAAAUAAAAUAGAGAUAAAUAUUUUUACUAAAGUGCCCUUAUCAUGUAUUGAUCUACUUGUAAGUAUCAUAAAUACAAAGUAUAAAAAAUAUUGAAUUUAGAGAGAUGUUAGUAAUAUUAAUUAGAAUGUAAUUGAAAAGAAAGUAAUUAAUCUUCUUAAUUUGCUUAUCUUUUUUACAGUACAUUUUUUAAAACCAGAUACAUAUAAGAAACUUUCGAAAAAGUAGUUGAAAGAACUUGCCAAAUCUAGUAGAAAAUCUUUGUAAAAUUUAUCUAUUUUUUACUAUCUCAAUCCAAAAAUAUUGUUUGACCUACUUUUUGUACGGUAAGCUAACAACAUUUUCAAAACAUUAAAAUCGAUUAUCUUCUUCUUCAAGUAGUUGACAGUUAAACACAGCAAGAUUUUCUUGUUUCACAAGGACUCUCUCUUGUCUCAAAUUCUCAAUCUUUUUCCUGUUAAGAUGCAUACAAUUGUAGCAUCCCUUGUUCCAUUCUUCUUAGUAUUCCACAUUCUAGUACCAGUGUCUUCUUCAGAUUCUUUGAUCCAACAUAAUAAUAUUAAUACCAAUAAUACCCUUCUUCAGUGUCUUUCUCUCUAUUCAGAAUCUUCUAAUCCAAUCUCAGAAGUUACCUAUUUCCCAAACACACCUUCAUAUUCACCCACCUUAAACUCCUACAUCAGAAACCUUAGAUUCAACUCAUCCACUACUCCAAAACCAGUUUUCAUUCUAACCCCAUCUCACAUCUCUCACAUCCAAGCAUCAAUCAUAUGCUGCAAAAAAUUCAACCUUGAAAUCAGAAUACGAAGUGGUGGUCAUGACUAUGAUGGUCUUUCUUAUGUAUCAGAAAAACCCUUCAUUGUUCUUGACAUGUUCUUGCUUAGAUCAGUGGUUAUUGACUUAAAAGAUGAAUCUUUGUGGGUUGAAUCAGGUGCUACAAUUGGUGAAGUUUAUUAUAGGAUUUCUGAGAUUAGUAGUGUUCAUGGUUUUCCAGCUGGGGUUUGUCCUACUGUUGGUGUUGGUGGACAUUUUAGUGGUGGGGGGUAUGGUAACAUGAUGAGAAAAUUUGGGUUAUCUGUUGAUAAUAUUUUGGAUGCUAAGAUUGUUGAUGUUGAUGGAAGAGUGCUUGAUAGGGAAUCAAUGGGGGAAGAUGUUUUUUGGGCUAUUAGAGGUGGUGGUGGAGCUAGUUUUGGUGUUAUUGUUUCUUGGAAGAUUAAGUUGGUUUCUGUGCCGGAGAUCGUAACUGUUUUUAGAGUUGAAAAAACAUUGGAACAAGGUGGUGGUGAUAUUGUUCAUCAAUGGCAAUAUGUUGCUGAUAAGAUACAUGAUGGGUUGUUUAUUAGAGUUGUUGUUAGUCCUGCGAAGAGAAAGGGGAAGAAGACAAUUAAGGCUAAGUUUAAUGCUUUGUUUCUUGGUAAUGCAUAUGAGUUGCUUGAUGUGAUGAAUGAGAGUUUUCCUGAAUUGGGCUUGAUUGGUGAACAAUGUAUUGAAAUGAGUUGGAUUGAUUCAGUGUUGUUUUGGUAUAACUAUCCGGUAGGGACUUUGACUGAUAUUUUACUUGAAAGACAUUCAUCAAAAGAGAAAUUCUUGAAGAGGAAAUCAGAUUAUGUGCAGAAGCCGAUUUCAAAAAUUGGGUUUGAUGGUAUAUGGAAGAAGAUGAUUGAACUAGGAAAGGUUUCACUCACAUUCAAUCCUUAUGGUGGGAAAAUGGGUGAGAUUUCUGAGAUGGCAACACCAUUCCCACAUAGAGCAGGUAACAUAUAUAAAAUUCAGUAUUCAGUUAACUGGAAAGAAGAAAGUAAUGAUGUUGCGAAUCAAUAUUUGGAUCGGAUUCGAAAGCUUUAUGAUUACAUGACACCUUAUGUGUCAGAUUCACCAAGAAGUUCAUAUGUGAACUAUAGAGAUGUUGAUAUAGGUGUCAAUGGAGAUGGGGAUGUUAGUUAUGAAAAAGCUAGUAUUUGGGGUAAAAAGUAUUUCAAAGGAAACUUUGAUAGGCUUGUAGAGGUUAAAACUGCAAUUGAUCCAAGUAAUUUUUUCAAAUAUGAACAAAGUAUUCCAUCACUUGCAUCUGAGACUAGUAUAAUGGCAGAAUACAGGCAGCCAUCAAAGGGUGUAUCAUUAUAGGAGGUAUCUAGAAGCAUGUUAAUAUCAUGGAAAACUAGUUCAGACCCAGAUUGAACAUUAAAGUAUGUCAGAAUAUUUGAUUGGUUAGAAGUUAGUACAUUAUACAUUCUCAAAUUGUAUCUUCCCUGCUUUGAGGGACUUAGUUCAUCUGAGUUGUAAGUUGAGAUGGCCAAUGAUGUAUAGAUUAAGAAUUUGGUGUUGUAGGCUUGUAGCUAAUGCCAUUAGGCUGUAGAUUGAUACUUUAAGCAAGAUGAUAUUCUAAUAUAAUUUAUUGAAAGUUUUAGAAAACUUGUUUAGUUUGUUUUGACUAAAACAUGUAUGCUCAUGUUGUCUCAUUUGUUUUAGAAAAAUUAAAGAGUAGGGUGAUAUAAGAUUCCCUCAUUUCAAGUAACAACAUAAUUGCCACUUGAAAUGAUUCAAGUUCUAUUUAAUUAGAUCAACUUUUUAGUUCUUUCUUUGGUAAAUAUCAUAUUCACUAAUCACAUCAUAUAUAUGUUAUCUUCUUUUGAUUAUUUGUGCACAUCAAAUAUUUUUUAACAAAACAAUCUACUGUAUAUCAAGUUUUAACAAGUUGCAAUGGUCAUCUAUCAUAAUGUUUAUUGAGAUAUUUUAUACGAUGAAUGAUAUAUCAAAGUAUAGUCAUCAAUAUUUUUUUUGAAGAAACUAAUUUAUUCAAAACACAAAGAAUCCUAACGAACACAAAAAAUGCUAGAUUAGGAAUCUUAAAGUAACAACAUAUAAAGGAAGGCCUAAUAACAAAUAGCCCCUCAACAUCAAAACAACAUAAACUCCCUAAAAAACCUCCUUAGUUUCCAGCUUCAUAAAUAGAAGAGGAAAUUUGGAAACAAUAAAUAACAGGAACUGGAAGCACACAGUACCAAAGCAACCUUCCUAAACAAAAAAUCCCCACACUUGCUGACCACAGCCGAAGCACAACCCUGCUGCCAUGACAGCAGCCUCACCAAAAACAAGGCAAAAGGAAGACAACCUGCUACAGACGCACAGGACAGCAGCCCCUACGAGUGACAGAAUUCAACCAUAGCCUAAACAAUAACAAAAAAACAGCAGCAAACACGUGCAGUCGACGAACAAACAUCGCCUCAAUAAGCAUUCCCGAGAGCUCCAACACCAUUCAUAAAACAUACAUGCCGAAAUAUUAAAUCUCCCUAAUAACCACUUCCAUGAUAUAACCUUAACCUCCUCCACUAACUCAUCCCACAUAGUUUAUCUCGUUAUUGAAAUUACAACCAUUUAUCGUCCUCCAAAUGACCCAAAUCACAACCUCCCAAAUCAACCGCAACCCCUUUCGGUUUUUAUUUUUUAUUUUUUUUAUUUAUGAAUAGGACCUCCACUCCAACACUCCCAAUGAAGAAACCCAUAAAAAAACAUAACUACCACCAAAAACCACCACUAGCCACCGCAAAAACCAGCACUACCACCACCACCAAAACUACCAAUAACCACCACAAAAAACACCAUAAAUCCUCACCAAAAACCAUCACCAUCUACCACUAGCAUCACCACCAAAAACUAACACCAGCCACCACGAGCAUCACCGCCAAAAAACCACCACGAGUACCACCACAAAAAACCCAGUAUCAACACCACCAUAGAAACCACCGCGAACCACCACAACCCAACACAACGAAAAAUCCAUCAAAACCAUAUCAGAUCACCACGUGACCGAUCCAUCACUGCCCACGUUGCGAGCAAACAAAACCUACAUCCACCGCCAAGAAAGAAAACGGAUCUGAUAUCAACCACCACAUACCAAAAAGACAAACACAAGUCAUCGGUGUUGAACGGCCGGAGAACCAGACUCCAACACAUUUCACGACUCCACAAGAGGUCGACUGCCGAAACCACCGCCAAAACCACUGUACAAGACCAUCGGCAGAUCUGGAGGUAGGUGGUGCAGAGGGCUUAAGCCGCUCGUCGCACCACCAUAAACGGCUUCUACAUGGUAAGAAGAUAGAUUGGAUUAUUGGAUUCAUCAAUAUUUUAGUUUAAUUCGCAUUUGGAUUUAAUUAAUAUACAAAGUCGGUGUAAAUAUUUUUUAUACAAUCAAUCAAAAUUGUCAAAUCAUUAAAAAUAUUUGAUUUUAAUCUUAAGUACUUUUAAAAUCACAUGUAUAAUUGAUUGUAAUUUGUUGGAAGUUUUUUUAUAUUGAUAAUAUAUCAAAAUAAAACUCUUCUUACUUGCAACAAUGUAUGUUUCUUCUACUCAAACAUUUCAUCAAACUCUAAUACUAUUAAAUUAAAUGAGUUUAAUAGAGAUAUAUUGUUGUUGUGUGAGUACAACUCAGUCGGUUACUGUAAGGAAAAUAACAUGCAAGAAUCAGGGUUUGGAUAUGAGAUUCUUCACUUCUCCACACUUAAAAUUCGUGAGUCCAGCCAUCACUAAACUACUUGAUAAAAAAAAAUUACAUAAUUGUUUACGUGUACAUCUAAUGAGAACUCAUAUAUUAUCACACAAAUCUAUUUUGUAAUUGCAAUUUAAACAAACAUAGCUAUAACCAAUUUGGUGAAUUGUUAUUGAUGUCAAUGUAAAACUAGCGUACACUAACGAUGUCUAUCCCUUUUUCCUUCUUGAAAUAAUCAAUAUAUUCUUUUUAAGAAAACAAACCAUACAAUUAUUUAAAAAUAGUAUUUUCUUUUUGAGAUGUUAUGAGAUAUAUUUGUAAACCUAUUUUAUCAUACAAAUUAGAUUUUUAAAAUUGUAUAUUUGGUUCUGUAAAAAAAUAAAUUAUACUAGGCUUAGCUAACUUUUUAGUCCCUUAAUACAUUUUUGAUGUAAAAAUUGACUACCUAUCCUUAAUUAAUACAUUUAAGUUCAUGUCUAUCAAAUUGACUAAAAUAUCAUCGGUUAAACUUUUAAUCUCACUAAUUUCGUAGGUUUCAUGGUCAUUUUUCCAGUGAAAUGUGACUUUGCUUUCUUAACUUAUCAAGUUACUACAAGUUCACCUUCUUUCAAAGAAAAUUACCACAAAUUCACCUAAAAAAAGAUCACUUUGCUGAUGUAUGAAAAAUGAUGUCCCCACAUGUUAUAGGGCUGAAGAACUAUUGUAAAACACCAAAAUACCCUCUUGACAGUUAAUUGUCGACGCUGAUUUGGUAUCUUGAAUUUGGCAACGAAGAAGAUGAUGAUGAUGAUGAUUUUAGGUUUUCAUUUUACUCGGUAGUUAGCUGUCGAAGUUUUCCUCGGCAUUAACUACAACUAAUUCUUUAAUUUCUCGGCAGUUAACUGCCGAGGGGGUAGUAUUGGGUUAAUGGUGUUCUUUACCCUUGUAAUAUAUGCAAUUUUUGGUUUUCGCCCCUAUAAAAUUUUUCGGUUUGAUUUGCACUCUUGUACAAUUUUUAUUUUUCGAAAAACACCUUUAAUAGGUCAUUCAAAAACCAAAAUUUCUUGAAAAAAUUCUAAAAAUGACCUAUUAAAGGUGUUUUCCAAAAAAAUUGUUACAAGGUAAAAAAACACUAUUAACCUUUUGGUAUUUUACUUGUGUUUUUUAACCUUAUAAAACAUGUGUGAACAGCAGUUUUCCUAAUGUAUUAUUCCUUCAAAAUGGACAAUGUGGGUAAGUCUAGAAAUUACUAAAAAAAAAAAUUACUUGUCACUCAUAAUUAGAUAAAGAAAAACAUGAGAAAAUCAAAGUUACGAAUGUAAGGAACGAACCGAUGAAAGGUGUUUCAAAACACUUAACUUUGCUACGAACAACAUGGUUGCGCAGUUGUUCAUACGUUUCAUUCCAACCCAACAUAGCCCCAGAAACUAGUUCACUUCUCAAUCACUGCUACAACAGAGAUCUUCCCAGAGCCAUGCAAAUCUUGGAUACCAUGGAAAAACGCGGUGUCUUUGCUGAUGCAAUAGCGUAUUCUGAACUCAUCAAGUGUUGUUUAGCUCAUAAAGCUGUAAGAGAAGGAAAACGCGUUCAUAACCAUAUAUUCUCAAAUGGGUAUCGCCCAAAAACGUUUUUGAUCAAUACCCUUCUCAAUAUGUAUGUGAAACUUAAUCUUUUGGAAGAAGCACAGAUGGUGUUUGAUAAAAUGCCUGAACGGAAUGUUGUUUCGUGGACUACUAUGAUAUCGGCUUAUUCUUAUGCGAAGCUCAACGAUCGAGCUAUGAAGCUUUUAGUUUUUAUGAUUAGGGAUGGUGUCAUGCCUAAUAUGUAUACCUUUUCGUCUGUUUUGAGAGCGUGUGAGAGGCUAUGUGAUCUCAAACAGGUGCAUUCGGGUAUAUUGAAAGCGGGGUUGGAGUCGGAUGUUUUUGUUAGGAGUGCGCUUAUUGAUGCUUACUCGAAGUUGGGUGAGUUGUUGGAAGCUGUAGGUGUGUUUCGUGAGAUGGUGACUGGAGAUUCUGUUGUUUGGAAUUCCAUUAUUGCUGCUUUUGCUCAGCACAGUGAUGGGGAUGAAGCUUUAGCUUUGUACAAGAGCAUGAGGAGAGAAGGGUUUCCAGCUGAUCAGUCAACACUCACGAGUGUUUUGAGAGCAUGUACUGGUUCAUCGUUAUUGGAGUUAGGGAGGCAGGUACAUGUACAUGUGUUGAAGUUUGAUCAAGAUCUUAUUCUUAACAAUGCACUUUUAGAUAUGUAUUGUAAGUGUGGUAGUUUGGAAGAUGCAAAAUUCAUUUUCAGUCGGAUGGCUGUUAAGGACGUAAUCUCAUGGAGCACCAUGAUUUCAGGGUUGGCCCAAAAUGGUUUCAGUGUGGAGGCACUCAAUUUGUUUGAUUCCAUGAAAGUCUCGGGUCCAAGACCAAACUAUAUUACAAUUCUUGGGGUUCUGUUUGCAUGUAGUCAUGCAGGACUAGUAAAUGAAGGUUGGGGCUAUUUUCGAUCAAUGAAGAACCUUUACGGGAUAGAUCCUGGAAGAGAACACUAUAGUUGCUUGCUUGAUCUUCUUGGAAGAGCAGGGAAGCUUGAUGAAAUGGUUAAGUUGAUUCAUGAAAUGACCUGCGAGCCGGAUGUUGUGACAUGGAGGACUCUGCUUGAUGCGUGCAGGGCCCAAAGGAAUGUAGACUUAGCCACAUAUGCUGCUAAGGAGAUUCUAAAGUUGGAUCAACAGGACGCAGGAGCCUAUGUAUUGUUAUCUAAUAUUUAUGCAAAUUCAAAAAGGUGGGAUGAUGUUGCAGAAGUUCGGAGGACUAUGAGCGCAAGGGGGAUAAGGAAAGAACCUGGAUGUAGUUGGAUUGAAGUCAAUAACCAAAUACAUGCUUUUAUUGUGGGAGAUAAAUCUCAUCCUCAAAUAGAUGAGAUCAAUAGAAAGUUAGACGAAUAUAUUCGUAAACUAACUGAUGCUGGCUAUGUUCCUGACACGAAUUUUAUGCUAAAAGAUCUUGAAGGGGAACAGAGUGAAUACUCCCUUCGACACCACAGUGAAAAACUGGCAAUUGUUUUUGGUAUUAUAAGCUUUCCUAGGGAGAAAACUAUUAGAAUAUGGAAGAAUCUAAAGAUCUGUGGCGAUUGUCAUAUAUUUGCGAAACUUAUAGCAAAGCUAGAGCAGCGGCACAUUGUAAUUAGAGACCCUAUUCGAUAUCAUCAUUUUCAAGAUGGGGUCUGCUCAUGUGGUGACUAUUGGUAGCAGAUAAGAUGUUCAAGACAGAAUCUUUGAUUGCCAUUACAUUCAAAACAGCAUAGAUGAAUCCAUUUUGCUUUCAGCAGCAGUGGCGUUUCUAAUAGUUAGUAUGUGAGUCAGGUUGAAUACAUUUUUCUUUCGCAAUUUCCUUUAUUUGCUUGUGUAUUUGCCUUUGUAAAAGAAAAUUAAUCACUAUUCUGAGCCUAGUUUUAGCAAAUCAAUACAAGGGUCAAUAUCUUUGUAUACUGAAAAAUAACUAGUUAUCCAAACUAGAUCCAGCCCAGUAACAGUUUGAUGAAUCUAGUGAAAGUUAAAGUAGUUUCAUUAUGAACUAGUAAAUCUUUCUUUGAUCCUUCUGUUUCUUAUACAUGUAAAUUAUUCUUGCAGCUUAUGAAUUGAAAUGUCCAGAAAUUUUCAAUAUUUAAAUCCUUUGGGCAGACAAAGGCUCCUUCUAAGGUAAAUGCAUCUGUUUUGUUGCUAGAAUUAUUACAUAUUAUUUUCUGCAUACUUACACCAGGGUAUGUGUAUGUCUAAUGAUAAUUUUGUUAACAUGUUUUAUGGAAUUUGAGCCAAUUUGUCUUGCUGUUUUUCAUUUUAAAGUCACUUGGCUUCUUUGGUAUUGGCCUUUUUCCAGCAGCAACACAAUUGGCAAGAAUUGUGCUUUAAUUCCUAGCUACACAUUUUGAUUUUAGAGGCUUUGACUGGAAUGAGGAUGAAAUAUUUAUACACAAUUGGCAUUAAUUUUAUGGAAUUCAGGGUUAUAAUAUUUAUACACAAUUGGCAUUAAUUUUAUCAUCCAGGGUUAUAAUAUUUAUACACAAAUUUUAUUGCAAGAGCAAUUUUAUAUCAUAAGUUUAUUUUAUCCCAUAUUUUGGUGUUGUGGCAUGAAAUAUUGUACUACUUGAAAAUAGAACAAAUAUAUUGAGUUGUGUGAUAAUAUGUGGUGUAGGCCAUCUCGAGAUUGGCUUUCUCUUUAAAGUGUAAGAUACCGAUUACCACUGUGGUGUAGGCCAUUCUUGACUUAGUUCCAACUAAAAGCUAACAUUUUCAGUCAAAUCUGGGAAGACUCAUGCUAAGCACUGCAAUUGAUUUUUUUUAUUUUAAUUACGUGUUUCAACCAGUUUUUUUCCCCAGUAACUCUGCAACCUCUUCCAUUUCCCUUCCUUCCUAAUUUUAUAUAGUAUGUGCUUUACUUGACAUCAACUAUGAGGCUGACUCUUUUACACAUCCUGCCACCAGUGCUCUUUAUUUUACAUUUCCAUUGCAAAAUAUGUGAAGAUGAUCCUGCUUGUGGAUGGGAAUUUUUUUCUAGGAAAUUCACUCCUGCAAGUUGCAGCCGCUGUCCAGGAUUGACUACCUAGCCUGCAACACUGGAAAUAUAUCAUGACUUGGCUCUGUAUCCAUAUAUCGUUUAGAGGUUAGAUUUGGGAACCCUUGGUAUGAUGGAUGUUUAUUUUGUGAUGAGGAUGUUGGCUGGGGUAGGUUUAGCAGGCAUGUGUCUUGAAAACACUAUUUUCACAGUGUGUUGCGAUUAAAACUAGUAGCUUGAGUUGAUCGCAUACCGCAGUUCCAAACACACAAUUAGACGGCAGUUACAGAACUUGGAGUGCAGGGCUAAUGGAUGACAUUUUAGUGGGGAAUUAUCCUGGGAGUUGUUGAGACUUUUGUAGUAUUUGACAUGCGAACAGAACAGAACAAAUGUUCUGUUUUUCUUGGUUUCAUCUUUUCAAAGGAACCAAAAUGUAUUUAUUUAUUUACCUUAUAUCCUGAUUUAUUUAAUUUUAUCAUGUACCCUGCUCUAACUUAUCUACCAAAAGCCACACCUACAUUUGGCUGGCUUGAUGGAGCAAAAUCUGGCUGCUGCUGCCUGCUGUUGUGUUGGGUAAUUAGAUUUAGGAGGGAAAAGUGCUGGUGAGGUUGUCAGGUUGUAGAUGAUUUUUUAUAUUGUCUUUAAAGCUCAAAGACCAGAUGAGAUCUAUACAAGUUUUUACGACUCCUGAACCACCGAUGAGUUGGCAAUAUUUUUUAAAAUAUUUCUAUGAUAAAUGUUAUAUGGCAUUAACUCUUCUCACUUCCAAAAUCACCUUAGAUGUACACAUCUGAAAACAAACACAAUUUUUGUGCCGUCCGGAUGUGUACUACAAAAAUACAGUUUUUCUUAGGUCCGAAAAUAUGCUUCCAGAGGUUUAAUUAUAAAUGUGGAGAGUGGUUGAACUUGUUUUCUUAUGAUAAUAUAGUACUAUAAGACUUUCUUAUGAUAACCCUGCAUGUUAUUGUAUGGAUCAUUUACAACCGUUACACAGUGCUGAGACAUGCAGAACAGUCAGAUUUAAAGAGAGUCCCUCAAUAUUUCAGUUUAGUCAAUAAAUGUAAUGUGAAAUAUGAUUGGAAUAAACAAUUCAUUGCCACAAGUUUGAAAGGUAUGGCGGGACUCUGCAGUUUAUUCCCCUCUGCACUUGGUUGGGAAUAUGCUGAACAGAACCAGACUUUGUAUAAAUAUAUACGUUAAAUUACACCAGAGGUCCUUUAAUUAAAUAACUUAAAGAACUUCUGAUGUAAUUUUGCCAAAUAUAUAUGAUAUGUUCACAAAAUUCAAGACUUUACUCAGUAUUAUGUUUUUUUGGUAUGAAGUCUUAUGGUACUAUAUUACGAAAGAUGAGACAUACAAUAUAGGUCUAGAUUUAUAAAUAGAUUGGACUAAGUUGAGCUAUUACAAAGUUUAAUUUUGAUUUAUUUGGCAUGGACUAUCCCACUGCUAAGAACCACAGGUAGUUGCACCCUGUUCUGAUAUUAAUGGCAGUCCUUGUUAAGUAGGUUUGCAUUUACUCCUGCCUUGACCGCUGCACACCAAGUUUGAAAUGAGAAGCAAGGAAAUGAAAUAUUUACUGCAUUUCAGACACUUGCUAAAUUUAUACUCCACAGUGACAAAACUAUGGACACAUGUCUUAGACACUCACGAAAAUGCAAAAUAUAGAAUUAAUUUUUUUGGUUAUUUUUUAAAUAAUUAAAAGAAAUUUCAUCAAAAUAAUAAUUAAAAUAAUAAAAUGUAUAAUUAAUAUUUUGUGAGUGUACCUAUAAUUUUAUGUUUGAUCUUGUGACCAUAUAAGAAUAAUCCAAUAGAUAUUCAAAAUAGUCGAUAAAUGAAAGAAUGAUAAUAUUUUUAUAAACUUUCUCUUUGACGGAAUGAAAGAAAUCUUUAUCAAUUCAUAGUUAUCACAAGUAUGAGCAAUGCACCUAUAUUGAAAAUGACACUUAUGUUGGAGUAUAUUUUUAUCUCUUCCUCCAUUUGUUCAAAUCCCGCUACGACAUAGUGCAGAUAUAUAGUCGCUAUUUACCAACACUGACAUAGUAAACAUCAGAAUGGUUGGAGAGCUUGUAGAAGCCAGGAAACUCAAAUCUGGCGCCAAUUAUUAGCCCUAAAGAAGAAACAAUGUUAAAACCAAAUUCAUUGCAAUUGAAACUUGUUAACAGUCAAGAAUCCCAUCUCAUCACCUCUACCAUUUAUAAGUUGCAUUGAAAACUAAGAUUUCCGGGAUGAAUAAAGAACCUUGACCCUUACUGUAGAUUGAAAGAAACUUAGACAUCAAUGAAAGACUGACAACAUGUUAAGCCAAUUUUACGGCACGAAAUGAAGAAAAAUUGAUUUUCUUAUUCAAAUUGAUAAGCAUAUAAGCAUCUUCUAACGUGACACCAACAACAAUAUUUAAACUAGGAGCUUGAGACAGAUGGGAGAGUCACCUGGUGACUGAUUACAACGAUACUGACACAUAGAAUCAUCUUUCCCAAUGAUUUUCCGACACGAGUGGGAUCAGCUAAGUUUUUCAGGUGUGUAAAGGCAUGAAACAAGGGGGAUGUUUGGGUUACUUAAGCCUUGGUGGGGUCAGACUGGUCUCAAGCUCCAAGAACUUUCAUCGAAGAUGAGGUGGAGUGGUUGCAGAGGGGAAGAAAAUGAGAUGACAGAUGUGUGAGAUUAAUACACAUUAGUAUAUGUUAAAUAGGAACAACACUGAUAGUGCUUACAGAACUUUACCUAAGUUUUGCCUCAAACUUCACAUUGAAUUAAAACUAUUAAUAUGGACUACAACACAUUACUGCUCCAUCAUAGUCAUCAACUAUUGGUUAUGAUCAGAUCAUUAUUUCUUUCUUGUUUGGGUUUCUUGUACCUUGUUGCACCAUAACAUCAUCUAUCUUAUAUCUAUUAAAAGGAGAAAGCUUUGUUAUGAUAACUAUUUCUCUCUAGUGUCUAUCCAGCCUUUAUUUGAAAGAAGAAAUAUAUAAACUGAAAUUGCAAGUUUUCAAAAAAGAUGGUUUUUGUCAUUUCUCUUCUAACACUGAAUGCACUUCUUUCUUUCUUUUGACUGGGGAUUUAUUAUGGUGGCUUUUACUUGACUUUGAUCAUCAAGAAUAGUCCCUUAUUAGGUAGUAUGUCUUCAUGUCUGAUGUUAUGGCAGUAUUGUAUUUGCUCCUUUAUGAAAGUGUUGAUUGGAUUCAAAUCUCAUUUAAUGUGGAGUAGACACGCCUAUAUAAGAAUGCAAAUUGUAUAUUUUGGGGACUUUGGCAGGUUAAUAUAUGAAACUUAUAACUCUUUAAUAUUUUUCCUUAAUUUUUUUAUUCAAUGCAGAGGCAUGUGGUUGAUUUUUACAUCUCUGACUUCCAAUCUGGACUGAGAGCAUUGGUUAAAACAGGCUUUGGUGCAAGGGUGACUCCUUAUGUUGAUGAUUCCGUUGUAAUUGAUGUUAAUCCAGAGAAUAAAGAAAUGUCCCCCGAUUUCCUUCGAUGGUUGGGGAAGAGAAACCUUUCUAGUGAUGAUCGUAUCAUGCAGUUAAAAGAAGGGUAUACAGUACUUUCUUUAUCUUGUUUAAAUAAAAAAUACACGAAGAAAAUGUAGUUCUUAUGAAAGUGGCGGCUACGAUGUUUUUGUAGGUACAUAAAAGAAGGUAGCACGGUUAGCGUAAUGGGAGUUGUUCAUAGAAAUGACAAUGUACUUAUGAUUGUGCCUCCACCUGAGCCUUUGACGACCGGAUGCCAAUGAAGGUAUUGUUUUGAGAUGCGAAGAUACAUCAAAGAUGUGAUUCCAGUGUAGUUAUCUUCCUAUCCCAUGAGUGAGUGAGUCUCUCUAGGUUCUAUUCUUCUUUGAGAAAACAAAUUGAUGGUGGUGGUGGUGGUGGUGGUGGUGGUGGGUGGGUGGUGGUUGUUUGUAUUUUGUAAGCAUAUAUGUGUUGUUGGUAAGUCAGUGUGAUCUUGCUGCCAUUUACAUCCGUGAAUUUCCUUUUGUUUCAUACUCAACUCCUCUUUAGUUUGUUGUAUAGCUAAUGACAAUUCUUAUUCGUUUAUUUUUCCUUUGAGAAUUUCAAACUUUUUGAAUGGAUAUUAUUUCUUAUAGUGACAAGUAAGUAAUGUAUAUUCAUUUGAUCUUGCUGUUUCGAUCUGUUGAUUAAUGGAAUAUAUCAUGCACCAUUUUUUAUUUUUUUUUAUUUUGUAUCAUCAUCUGAACCAAUUCUUUUUUCUGGUUAUCUUGUUAAUUAAUACAUUUGUUUAUUUAUUGGUGAAUCCGUUUAAUAUUUGGUUUUACCUUUUAUUUUCCUCCGUUCAAAACUGAAUGUUAUUAAAGAGGAAUACCAUCAACUUCUAAAGGCGUAAUUUUCCUUAACAUUCUUAUCUUAAGAUACACUGUUCCAUCUAAACCAAACUUUCUUGUCACCAUCAACUUCUAAAGGCAAAAUGGGUUCAUUCAUCCAAAUUUUCUCCUUUCUGUUUUGGUUUGCCAUUGUCUCAUCUCAUGCACUGUUUCAACUCCAAACGCUUUCUUCAUCAUUAUGACUCCAUGUUUGGUCCCUUAAACUGGUUCAAUAUCAUUGUCUUUGCUGGUCCUCACCACCCUUAUGGGAGUGAUCUGUUAGAUUCAUGUGAAAAGAAGCACCAUAUCAUGUUACUAGUUAUUGGAAAAAUCUCAUCCAUUAAUUUUUUUUAUUGUCAUAUCUAAUGGUUUUGCAACGUAAUCAUUCUAAAUUAAGUACCACUUUUUCUUUUGGUAAGAAAUUAGGCACCACUCUUAAAGAUUUAUUUAGAGAUAAACUAAUCGAAUUACACAUAGUUUAAUUAGAGCUUUUCUUCUCAUAACUAGUCCCAUGUUUAUCAUAUUGAUUGAUACUGUGACAUGUAAUAGGCUUCUAUGACAUGUGCCUUCCUUUAAUAAUAUGUAAAUUUUUUAAUCAAUAAUAAAGAGACGGUUCCAGGCUGAUUCAUCAUAUUAUUACUAUAAUAUAUAAUAUAUAGGGUUAAAUAUGUUUUUGUCCCUAUAAAUAUAACAACUUUUCGUUUUAGCCCCUCUAAAAUUUUCCUUCAAGUUUUAGUUCCUAUAAAAUUUUCAAUCUUUAUUUUUGGUCCCCCGUUUAAAGUAAACUCAUAUGUAGAAUUCAUAUUUUUAAAUAAAAUUUUGCAGAAAAAUGUAUAAUAUUAUAAGUAUCUCUCCCAAAAAAAAUUAGAAUUUUUUACCAAAACAUGAAUUAAAUAUGAAUUUUUAUAUGUUUGGAGGUAAAAAAUUCAUAUUUAAUUCCUGAUUUGUUAAAAAUUCUAAUUUUUUUGGGAGUGAUUUUUACAAUAUUCCAUACAUUUCUGCACAAUUUCAUUAAAAAAUACAAAAUUUUACUUAAAAAUAGGGACGAAAAGUAGUGAUUGAAAAUUUUAUAGGGACUAAAACUUGAAGGAAAAUUUUAGGGAAACUAAAACGAAAAUUUAGUAUAUUUAUAGGGACCAAAAACAUAUUUUAACCGUAAUAUAUAAUAUAUUGAAGGUAGAUAGAAAGAUAAAGACCAUGUUGUGUUGUGUGUGUGCACCUAUAAACAUUACACAGUAGAGAAAUGGGUGAAGUGAAACGUGUAGAGUGAACAAGGGUGAGUAAGUAAUACAAAAAGGCCACGUGGUGCAAGUGACUAACGUGUCCACAAGCCAACAAUGGUACCCUACCGUACUUAACAACAUUACUAAUGACUUUGUUUUGAAUGAGAAUAAUAUUAUGCUAUACUCUAUGGAUAAAAAGCUUGGUGCAAGUGGUGUGGUUUUGGUGUUAGUAUUCUUCAGCUUCACUAUAGCUAAUGUGAAUGGAGAUUCAGUUAAUGAUGAAGAUCAGAGUAAGAAAUCAGCUUUGUGGGUAUGGCAGAGACUAAGAAAUGCAUAUUCUAUGUAUUCAUCAGUUUUCCCAACAAAUAUUGGACAAUAUUGGCACAUGGUUAAGGCCAUUGUCAAUCACACUUAUGCUUAUUUCUUCCCUCCAAAUCUAGAGUAAGCUACUAACCUUCUCCAUCUCAAUAUAUUUAUUUAUUUAUUUAUUUAGUAUUCUCAUUUCAACCUUGUGCUUUUAUUUUCAUAGCAUAUUCUUUGUUACAUACCAUGCACAAGACACACAAAUACUAGCUACUUCAUUCAUUAAUAAUUUGUUUUUAUAAGUUUUAGGAGAGGAGAAGAGGGUGAAGCAGUGGUAGAUAACAAUGGAGCAGGGGAUAAGGUGAAAGAAGCUUUAGCCAAAAGCCUAGGAACAAGCAAAGCAACGUUGGAGGAUGCUGCAAAAUCAGCAGCAGAUAAGGUCAAGAGGAGUUUGUCUGAUGAUAGGGAAAAGAAACAUCCAAAAGAGCUCUAAUUCUAUGAUGUAUAAGAAGAACUAAUUAAGAUGUUGUAUUUGUUUAAUGUUAUUAUAUGCAUAUCUUACUUAAGAAGCAGGAUAUCUUGUGUAAAGCUUCAAUCAUUUGUAGGCUUGAAUGAUCAAAUGAGGUCUACACACAUGAAUUGCAGUUUUGGAUGUUAAAUUAAGUGUAUUUUUGCUUUAGAAUUUGAGUGAAUUGAUUCUAACGACCCGAAGCUAAAGUUUUAUUUUAAAAUCGAUGAUACAAUCAAAAACUUUAAUUUUUUACUUCUAGAAUAAAUUUUAGUUCAAAGUGUUAUUAUAAGUCCAAUUGAGGGGAUCUUGGAACUGUUGGAAAGAUUACAAAAUUAUAUCAUAACAAAUUUAACUAUCUCUUUCUAGAGCGAAACUUAAUAGUAUCAGAAAUAAAGAAUUGACGAAAUAACAAUAACCAUUGAAAACUCCACACACAUAAACGGACGAGUCAAGGAUUUGAACCUCAUUCAGGUUGUCAAAUCUAACAAUUUUAGCAUGCAUUUUUACCACUUGAGUUAUGAUUUGUAUAUGAUAUCAAUAAUUUUAUUUUAUAAUAUAGUGAUAAAAUAAAAUAUAAUAAAAGCAAAACAUUGAAUUAUUGGUACUAAAUGUUAUAGUAGCAGCGUUAGUUAGUGCAGUUAGAGAUUGAGGAAAGUGUAUGUGUGUGUGUAUAUAUCAAAUGAUUGAGUAAGAAUCGUAUUUUAUUUAUUUUAUUUAUAGUCGACGUUAAGGCGUAGCUAGUAAGAAGAAGAAGAUCGAAAAUGGUGGAAUCGAAGAAGAUCGAAACGGUACAUUCAUCACUCGUCACCUAUGCUUCUAUGAUAUCUCUUCACACACUUGCUCCUCCUUUCGUCAAUCUACUGUAAGUCUACUUACUUAAUUAAUUAAUAAUUUCAAACAAAUUAGUAGAUCUAAUUAAUAAUUGAAUUGAAGAUGGUAUACAAUGAUGAAGGCUAUGGAUGGAUCAAUUUUGAAGACAUCUGAUUAUUUGAACAAUAAUGGUUUACAAGGUUUUCUUAAUCUAUGGCCUAAACCAACACUUCUCUCUUUCUAAAUUAUCGCUGUUUAUGAUGCAUUUGAAGCUUUACUUCAGCUUCUUCUUCCUGGAAACUGUUUCUCGAGGAUAGAUGAGAUCAAAGAACAUAAAUCUUUCAUUAUUCUUAAGCAUUGACCACAUGUGGAAGAAAUUGAUUUAGUUGUUAUGAUUAAGUUUCGGUAUGUUAACGUGUUUUAUUUAUGAAAUUUCUUUGUAUAUUGAUAAUGUGUUUUUUUAAGGAUGUUAAUGUGUACUUGACUCUUAAAACAUUGAUGAAGAAUGUACCUGUAACACUCCGUUUUUCCAGCAUAAAAAUUUCAUAAAUAAAUCAGAGUAUUUCAACGGAAUGUCACACUUCUUUUCAUAAAAUCAUAAAGUGAAUAAAUAACUAUUUAUCCUUCAAAAAUCCAACAACAUAAUAUUUAAUACUUCGCAGCGGAAUUUAUUCAACUUUUAAAACAAUCUUUGGCACGAAGGCCUCAACGUAAAAUGUCAUAAAAUUAUUCCAACAACAUAAUCAUGGACUUCAUAAAAUAAUACGUAAGGAAUAGAAAAGCAAUAACAAAGUUCUCAUCCCGUUACGUAUCAGAGCACCUAAGACACAAGUGAGAGAAUCCACUCACGACCGCGACUAAUCUUGGUUACCUGCAAGUUACCCACUAAUACAUGCAACAUUUCCAAGCAGAACGGGUGAGAUUUCUCAAACAAUAAUAAUAAGCAUAUAAUUCAUCAAUUACAUUUAACACCAUAGACAUCAUCAAUUCACCCUAAUAAUAAUUCUUCAUAAAACAUCUCAUUAGCAACUCAUAAAUAGAAGACAACUUAACAACUUAACAUCUCAUGUAUAACCAAUUAUCAACAACGUAAACAUCAUUAAUUCAUAAUAAUAAUUCUUCAUCAAACAUUCAUUAGCAACUCAUGAAUGAAAGACAAUUUAUCAACUUAACAUAAACAUCAUCAAUCAUAUUUAACAACUCAUAGACAACAUCAUGUAAUCAUCAUAACAACAGUCAUAAUCAACGUCAUGUAACAUCAUAAUCAACAUCAUAUAAUCAUCAUCACAACAUUAUAAUCAACAUCAUAAACAACAUCGUAAUCAAUAUCAUAAACAACAUCAUUAUCAAUGUCAUAAACAACAUAACAUCGUAAUCAAUAUCAUAAACAACAUUCUAUCAACAUUAUAAUCAACAUCAUAAACAACAUAACAACAUCGUAAUCAAUAUCAUAAACAACAUCAUAACAACAUCAUUAUCAACAUCAUAAACAGCAUAAACAACAUAACAACGUCGUAAUCAAUAUCAUAAACAACAUCAUAACAACAUCAUUAUCAACAUCAUAAACAACAUAACAACCUCGUAAUCAAUACCAACAUAUAACAUAACAAAAUAUCACUCAUCAAAAUAAAUCGACUAAAUUAUAAAAAGACAUCUAAAUUCAAUAAAAUAAAUAAAUAAUAAAAUAGGGCGUUACAGUACCAACUCAUAACAAAUUUGACUAUCUCUUUCUAUUCUAAAAUUUGAGCGAAACUUAUAGUAUCAGAAAUAAAGAAUUGACGAAAUAACAAUAACCAUUGAAAACUCAACACACAUAAACGGAGGAGUCAAGGAUUUGAACCCCAUUCAGGUUGUCAAAUCUAACAAUUUUAGCAUGCAUUUUUACCACUUGAGUUAUAAUAUAGUAUCAUUAACAGUAAAAAAAAAAAAACAAAAAAAAUCAAAGCAAACAAAGUGAUAAAAUAAAACAUAAUAAAAGCAAAACAUUGAAUUAUUCGUAAUAAAUAUUAUAGUAGUUUUGACUAGGAAUAAGAAGAAAGAAAGUUGUAUAUUCCCUUUGUUUGUUUGUUAAAGAAAGUUAAAAAUGAUUUUUAUUUUACCCAAAAAUAAACAAACAAACAAACAUUCUAUCUAUCUAUCAAAGCACCGUUAGUUAGUGUAGUUAGAGAUUGAGGGAAGUAUAUAUAUAUAUAUCAUAUGAUUGAAAGGAGAAAAUUAACGAAGAAGAUAGGACUUCAUUCGCUAUGAAGCAUUGACACUUAUAUUAACACUUGGACAUCUGUAAUAAUUUGAGAAAAUAAACUAAUUGAAUGUAUUGACAUCUGUCGGAGACACGUGUGGGACACUGGACACACAUUCAUUCAAUAAGUUUCAGUGCUAGGAUUCAUUCAUUCAUUAUUGCUGAUUAAAUUGAUUUUUCAUUUCAUCUUGGAUGUUCUGUGUUGUUUUUGAAAAUUCAAGUAGUAAUAAAUGAAUUGUUUGAACAAAAAUCAGUCAAUAUAUUCGUCCCACAAAGAAAAGAAAAUUGGCAUAGGAGAUCUGAAGAUAUAAUAUUGUUGUCUUCUAGGAAUAAGACUUUGUAUGAUCUUAGUUGUCAAAUAUGGCUGAUGUAUGUAUAUAUAUAUAUAUAUAUAUAUACAUAUGAUAGAACAAGAAGAAAAAAACAUUAGUCAUUGCUAGUCUUCUCAAUUAGUUAUCCUUUUGAAUUUCAAUUUGGAUGUUCUGUGUUGUUUAUGAAAAUUGGCAGAGGAGAUCUCACGACAUAAUAUUGAGUUGAGGUUCUCUCAGAAUUAAACUUGAUAUGAUGUCCUCCUAUGUAGCACUGACACUUCAAAUUGAAGUCGUGUAUGACAACGACACUGGUAAUUACAAACAGAUAUGAUCACUUCUAUUUGAUCAAAAUUUUCCCAGUGUGGCAGUGUCUAUGUGUUGGUGUUGGUACCGUAUCCGUGUCUGUGUCAAUGCUUCAUAGAUAAUGUAUGAUGGAUGGAUAUAUUUGGUAAAUCAAACAAAUAUCAUUAUUCAUUGCUAGUCUCCUCAAUUGGUUAUCCUUUUGAAUUUCAAGGCUUUAUGAAGAUAGGUUUAUAUGCUUUUAUAGGCUAAAAGCCUAAAACAUACUCUAAGAAACUAUGUUCAAAUUAUUAUGUGUUUUAUCUACAAGAAAGUUGUGUCACAUAAUAGGUUUUCCUUACAAAGCAAGAUGGUUUGCUUCUUUUACUUUUUCAAAAACAGUUGACAUGUAAUUUUUGCAUGUAUGUUUCAGGUUUGGGAUAUUCAACCCAACAAUCGUUUAUGAUCAUUUGGGGGAGAUAUAUUCCACACUCAGCUUUGGGAGCUUUAUCUUUUGUAUUUUCUUAUACAUAAAAGUGAGACUGUUGUGAAAUUGAAGAAAUGAUAAGGUAUUUGUUUCCUGUGCAAUUUACAUUGGAUUUUCUGACUCAAGUGUUAUAUUUGAUAGGGUCAUUUGGCACCAUCUUCUACUGAUUCUGGUUCAAGUGGGAACAUAAUCAUCGAUUUUUACUGGGUAAACUAAUCUCUGCUUCUUAAUUUGAUUAAACUGCUCAACAAUUUUUUUGUCUUAUCCAUUUAUUUGCAUUGAAAAUUGACAUUGAUUUAAGAAAGAGAAUGUGAACGAUGGAAAAAAUUAAAAUAAAACUGAGUGAUAGCAUGAAAAAUCUCUCUUGUCUGAUUACUGGCGUCAUGCCUUUAGAGGAUCAUUGAUGCAACAAACCUUUCUUUAAAAUUACCGCCUCUCAUUCUAAACCAAGUAGGCACCGAUAAUGCAUGGAAAAUUCUUUUAGAAUUACCCAUCCUUUUGUUUAAACUGGUUUGACUGAAAUUCCGUUCAUAAUGCCACUAUGUGAACUUUGAAAUUCUUAUUGUAGAAAUGAAUGUUUCAACGUUUUAUGGCUGUAAUUUUCGUUUUCACCAUAUUACAAGAAAUUGUUUGAUAAACUAAAAUUCAUCCCUUGAGAUGUUUUUUUUUUAUAUGAAUAACAGGCCUAGACAUGUGGAGUUUAAUUCCACCUUUUUUCCAUAAAUGACGGCCUUCUAUCUUUCUGCCAUUCUGCAGGGUAUGGAGCUCUAUCCACGCAUUGGAAAAUAUUUUGACAUAAAAGUUUUCACAAACUGCAGAUUUGGAAUGAUGUCGUGGGCUGUUCUGGCACUUACUUACUGCAUAAAGCAGGUUGAGUCUACGAGGUUUUAUUCUUUGUAUAAAUACUGAAGUCAAGCAUAAUGAUUGUGCUAUCCAGCAUUUAGUUGGAAAACACAGAUGAAUAAUCCUUUAAAUACCUAUUUGUAGUUAGAAACAGUUUGAACGUGGGGACCUUGGUGAUUAGGUGGCCAAUCAAGCUCCAUAGAAGCUGAGGCCAUCUACUUUUGAGUUUUUUUUGUCUUCUGAGAAGAUCUAAUUUAUGAUAGGGAUAUAAAUCAUAUUUAUAUGUGGUUGGACUUCCUUAGUUGUUUUGGAUAUAGUGGCCAGUUGGUAUUGACUUAUUACCUCCAUGAACAUGAUCUUACUAGUAUAUGAAUCAGGAACAUAAAUUUAUUUUGUAAUUUUGUUUUGUGAAAUUUCCAUCCUUUGGUUAACUCUCUAUUGUUCGUAUUCUUGUCUUAAUAGUAUGAAGAAAAUGGGAAGGUAGCUGACUCAAUGCUUGUAAAUACUACAUUAAUGCUGGUGUAUGUUACCAAGUUUUUCUGGUGGGAAGCUGGAUACUGGAACACAAUGGAUAUUGCACACGAUCGAGGUCUGCACAUAUGUUUUAUCUUUGUUUUUGUUGACAUACUUGCUCUUUCCUAUCGUUAUGCUGAUAUGUUCUUUUGGCGUCAUUAGUUUUCAUAGUUUAUUAAGUUUAAGAUCAAGAUCAUAUCUUCCAUAACAACUGUAUUUCAUUUAUCAUGUUUGGAUUAGUUUUCAUAUAUUAUUGAUAAGUUCAUUGUAUACAUUGUAUUUAAACCUCUUUAUCGUGUCCCUAAAUCUUGCAGCUGGAUUUUAUAUUUGUUGGGGCUGUUUGGUUUGGGUUCCAUCAGUGUAUACAUCUCCUGGAAUGUACCUUGUCAACCAUCCAGUGAAUCUUGGCACCCAGGUACCAUCCCUUUCCUGUUUGAGCUGUUGUUUUGUGGUAGUUAUUUAUACCGCAGAGUUUUCCUUAUUUCUAAUAUACUUUUCAAAUUUCAAUGUUUUCCACUUUUUUUUGAAAAUUAGCUUCCUUGUCUUUCAGCUAGUACUCUUUAUUUUAGUGGCUGGCAUUAUGUGCAUAUACAUCAAUUAUGAUUGUGACAGGCAAAGGCAAGAGUUUCGUAGGACAAAUGGAAAAAGCUUGGUCUGGGGAAAAGCUCCAUCAAAGAUAAAGAUGCGUAGAAUAUACUGGGUUACUAUUUUUCAUUUGAAAUGUACUUUCUAUUUUCUAUAUAAUGCAAGUCAGAUUGGGAAUCUUAUUGUCGUGAGACUUGCAUAAGGUAUUCAUAAUGAAAAUGUACUUGCAGAUAGAAGCCUCAUAUACCACUUCUUCCGGGGAAACAAAAAGAAGCCUUCUUUUAACCUCUGGAUGGUAUGUAUCCCUUAAAAACAUUCUAUUUUUGAAGCAUAUGUAAACAUACUUAAACACUAAGUUGUUGUAAUGAUUGAGAGAGCUUAAACUCACUAUUUUUUGGGGUGGAUUCCAGACAUUUGACUUAAAAUGUGUUACAAUCUGAUAUUUAUUGUUUGCCUCCAUAUAGAAAUAUUAUUGCUAACUAUAGGUUAUACAUCCUUUUAAAAAAGAAAACAAUAGUUUAUGCAUUUAAUCUCAUAAUAUAUAUUUGAUUUUUCUAGUUGGCCCAACAUUUUCUUAGAGAACAUGUCUUAUUUCUCAAAGUAACCAGUUCACUUUUUCCGUGCUACCUGCAGGUGGAGAUUAGCUCGUCAUUUUCAUUAUGUACCUGAAAUACUAGCUGCAUUCUUCUGGACAGUCCCAGCUCUUUUCAAUCACGUAAGAAGAGUGUUUAUUUCUCUGUACAGUUGAAAGUUGUAGAGAAUGUUAACCUUAACAACUUUUUUACUAUGCAGUUCUUGCCUUACUUAUACGUGAUAUUUCUUAUUAUCCUUCUUUUUGAUCGAGCAAAAAGGGAUGAUGAUCGAUGCAGAUCCAAGUAAGCAUUAUUUUCUAUCUAUUAGUGUUGCUUAUAGUUCUUGGACAUUUUAUUUUCAAUGUGCAGAGAGAACCACAGAUGCUCUUUUUGUCAUAUCAUUCUAUUCUUACAAACAGUUUGCUUUAUGAGUCAUGGCGGUGCAUGUUUGGAUCGGUUGUGAGUUUGUCAAAAUCAAGUUAGCACCAUGAUUUUGUUGAAGCUUUAAAAUGUAGUUUUUGCUAAACUCAUAAUGCCAACAGCCUAAAUUGUAAUAUAUACGCUUUAUUUUUCAUAUCUAUAGGAAACCAAUGGCCUACCGUUUCAACCAGAUUUGGCCUGUCUCUGAAAUAUACAAUUCAUAAUGCCACUGCAAUGCAAUAAAUAAUUGAAUGGAUAGAUUAUUGAAAACCAAAUUUAUUUAUCAUUGCAUCAACUGAACUUUUUAUUACCAAUGGAUUAGGAAAUUUGAUGGUUCUAGGUCAUUACAAUGUACAUGUAGUUAAAAAUUUCCAUUGCAUGCAGGUAUGGAAAGUACUGGAAACUCUAUUGCGACAGGGUAGCUUACAGAAUUAUUCCAGGAAUAUAUUGAUGAUGACGUGUCUGGAAUCCUAUCCUUCACUUGGUGCCAUGUUUACCUAUUUUUGUUUACUGCCUCUGCCACUUAAGAUGCAAUGGUAAACUUUAGCUGUAAGAAAUAAUUCAGUAAUUAUUGAACCUUAUUUUGUAAGUGAAUGUUAUGAUUUAAAAUGGUUCUCGAGCUGUUUAUCAAUUAUGCUUUAAAGAAAUAGUUUUGUUUCGCUGCCCAUAAAUAGAAAUCUCCCUCAUUUUUCUUGACAUAAUUAUCCGCCAUGGAGUCCUUGUAUAUAUGAGCUAGAAAUUCAGCUGGUUCUGCAUUAAUCCAAUCGGGAAUUAAGAACAAUUAUUGAGUAAACAUUCAAGAAUAUAACGUUUUUAUAUUAUUUUUUAAAUACAAAAAUAAAUAUGAUAUGAUAUUUUGAUCUAAUCAUGAGUGUUGAUUCUAUUGAUUUAUAAAUAGGGUUAUGUUAAACCGGAGCACUGGUUAAAGAUAUAAAAAAAUGAGGUUAUUACUAAAAAAAUAAAACUAUUUUAUUUUUAUUUUCAAUACAAUAACUACUAUCAAUUUUACUUUUAACAAAAAUAUUUUAUAAUGUGAAAAAUAUAUUUUAAUAACUGUAUAGACAAUUUUUUUUACCAGUGUCAUGACUAUUUCAUAAUUUAUUUAGUUUAUAUUUAAUUUAAAUAUUCUUUUUUGGGUGAAAUAAUUGUGAUAUAAUUUUAACUUAUUUAAUAUUUUUUACAAACAUAUAUAUAUAUAUAUUUAAAAUUGAGUUUACAUUAAAACUGUAUAUCUUUAGGUUUUGAAAAUUUAUGAACAUAUUCAAGGGUAACCAAACUAAAAUUAAAAGUUUAUAGAAAAUAGUAUCUUUAUUAUUUUUCUUGACAAAAUAUUAUACUUACUACAAAUAUCAAAAAUUUUGGAAGGCUUAAAUUUAUUUUUGGAGUAUACUUUAUUAUUUUAACUUCUAUUCUCUAUAAAGAGUUUUAUUGUUUACAAUCUUACAAAAUCUACGUAUUUUUUAGUUCUGGUUUUUCUAUUAUAAAUUUAUAAUAGCCCUAAAACAAUUGUUUGUGAUAAAAUUGCUUUAUCUAAUGCGUUCUUUUUUCUAAAAAAUAGACCAAAGCAAUGAUAUUUUGAAACGUAAAAUUAAAGCACAAGAAGAACAAACCAAAACAAUGGCACAACCAAACAAAAAAUUCAAAAGCGGAUAAUCUCUCAAAACAUAGAUCGUAUAAUGAUUAAAAUGAUCCGCUUUUCAUAUUCAUUUUAAUUAUUAUACAAUCUUAUUCCAAGAUAAACAUUUUCGAGAGAUUACAAUUUUUCAUGUACUAAAGCAAUAUAAGGUAGUAUAUUUAUGGGUAUAAAUCAUUAUACAAUCUUAUUUCGAGAUAAACAUUUUCGAAAUAUAGAUUGUAUAAUGAUUAAAAUGAUCACAUAUCUUUCAAAAAAUACUACCUUUAUUUUAUUUUAUAAGCUAUCAUUAACUAAAAUCGUAUCUUCAUAAACUACCUUUGAAAUAAGGUGAUCCAAACGGGCCUAUAUCAACAACUUUUUUAUGAAAUUUAAUAAUUAUUUCUUUAAAAAAUUUAACUAUUAGCUUAAUUUUUUUGAAGGAACUUAAAUUAAACUAUUUUGGUCCCUAUAAAAUAGGGACCUUUCAAGUUUAAUCCUUACUUAAUUUUAAUAGGUUUUUUAGUUCAUACAAAAAAGAAUUACUUCUAAUUUUAGUCCCUGUUACAACAAAGUUUGUUUAAUUAUCCUUAAACUCUUAAAUUUUUGAACGCUAGGAAAUGUUCAUUUACUAAAAUUUAAAAUUUUUUAACAUGAAACGAAUUAAAUAUGAAUUUUUUAAAACGGCAAAAGUUAAAGAUAAAAUUAACAAAAUCUGGACAUAUAAAUCAAAUUUUGUGACAAUUUUUUGCAUAGGAACUUUUAGUAAUGUUCUUAACACGUCUGUAAAAAUUUGUUAAAAAACUCAAGAGUUUAAACAUAAAUUAAACAAAUUUGAAUUGAGGAGGGACUAAUACUGAGUGCAGAAUUUUUUUUUAGGGACUAAAAGAACCAUUAAAAUUAAGUAAUGAUUAAACUUGAAAGGUCCUUAUUUUAUAGGGACCAAAAACAUAUUUAACCUUUUUUAAAAUUAUCUCUUUACUGUUUACUCUUCAAUCUCGUAUUAAAUAAAAUAUUAUUUUUUAUAUUUUUUAUAUUUCACCUCUCAAAAAAGUUUGAAUAACUGAUAAAUUAAAUAUCUCUAUAUAUAUAAUAUACCGAGGAAAACAAGCAAAAAAAAAAAGAGAGAGUGUUAUAUUUGAAGCUUUGCUUGGCACCAUCGUUUUUACGCACGAAGAUCUAUCUUUUCGUCUUUCAUCUUUUCAAGGUUUCGAUUCUCUCCGACUCAAUCAAUCAAAUUCAAAAAAGUUCGUUUUUUUCACUUUGAAUAUUUCUUCUUGCGUUCGUUUCAUAUAUCUAAUUCAACUAAUCGUCUCUUUCAUUCUCUUAAACCUAAUUUUCAGAUCCUUGUUUUUUUUAUGCUCAUUCUCAUGUUAGAGUUUAUGUUAUUAUUACUGCCCCCAAACAUUCAUUUCUUUAGGGUUUGUUUGAUUUGAGCUUAUCUUCUCACCGUUUUGGUGAAUUUAUUAAAAAAUAAAAACAUUACAUGAUUUCAUCAACACCUAGCUUUGCCACCGCCACCCCAUCCUAUACUGGAAAUGACUAUAAUACCCCUGGUUAAUAUUAAUAUUUUCAUAUAAUAUCUUUGAUUAAAAUUAAUAUUUUCAUUUCCUCUUUCCCUUUCUCUUUCAUCUGAGAACACGUUCUGUUUCUUCUCCACCACAAGCAAAUCGACCGGACCGAACCACACCACCGCCGGCGAGCUGCGACUGCGACCACUCUCCCUCCAUCCAUCAUCGGUUCACCAUCGCAUCCUCCUCCAUCUACUGUUUCGAUUCAGCUAUCUUCAUCUCUCUCCACAACAAACCCUAAUUGUUGUAAUUUGUAAGGUAAUGUGAAAUUGAAUGUAAUUUCCUUCAAUUAAUUAUGAUUCUGAUAUGAUGAUUACAUGUUUUUUAUUGAUUGCCAUGAGUUUUCCAUCUUUAGUAACUUAGUUGAUUGCCACUGGUUUCCAAUUCCAUCCGUUGUUCUUUAAUUGAAAUUGAAAUUGAAUGUAAUUGCCUUGAGUUUUCCAUCUGUUGUUAAACCUAGUUAUGUCUUGUUUUGCGGUAUGGAGAUGGUCUGGUAUUCUUUGUUUUAGAGUUUAAACUUUGACACUUAAUAGACUAAAUGCUUUGUAAAGGAAAAUAUUUGAAUAAUUCAUUGUAGAUUUGUAGUGGGAUUGUGUUGUUUCAUAUUAUGCAUAAACAGUAUGUCAAUUUAAAUCAUUCUUCAUUAUAUAUAGUCAAUUUAAAUCAUAUAUUUUAUUUUAUUUUGAUGGCGGGAUGCCGGCCACCCCAAACUUUUUUGUCGGGCUCCGCCACUGCACACCCUAGAUAUUCAUCAACACCUUGCAGGCUUUGUUGUCCUAAAUUCCAGGUUGCUAACUUCUUUUCUACCUCUCUACAUUUAAAUGCUUCCUUGAUUUUUCUUGUGCUUUUGAAUCAAUAUUCAGGAUUUCUAAUCUGGGAUAUGUAAAAAAUGAAAUGAUAGAACAGCCUUUCUGAAUUGAAAGGGGGAUUUAUGUUCAAUUCAAAGCAACAAUCUUUAAGAUCAUAUAUAACAAAACACAAAUUCUUCAAAACUCAUUUCAAUAAUCAUCUUAAAUUGCUCAAAUUCAAUGUUUUUAUCAUCAUAGUUGAAAAGGGUAGGAGCAGGUCUUUGAGAAAGAUGUCGGUGGCGGCUGGGCUGAGACUGCUGAUGUUAGCAGCAGUUUCUGUUUGGUUGUGGCAGCUAUGGUGUGGCCGGUUUAGGUAUUGGUUUGGAGCAACUGCUGGUGCGUUUUUUGGAUGGUUGUUGUUGUUGGAAUUGAUGAUGGCCAGAGAAAGAGAUGGAAAAAGAAGAAGAAUAAGGGUCAAUUGGUGUACAUGGACCUCUCAUAUGGGUCAAUUGUUGUUCUUGUUCUUGAGAUUGAGAGGAAGAAGAAAUAAAAGAUUAAGAUUUGAGUUUUAUUUUUUAUUUUUUCUCUUUUUAUUUUUAUUUUUUAAUUUCAUUUUCAUUUAUUUAAUUUAAAAAAUGAUAAUCUACUUUUUUUUUUUAAAUUAAUUCAAUAAUUAUCACAAUUUUCAUAUGUAUCACAAUUUAAGUCGUAGCUAGUAGGAAGCAGAAGAUCGAAAAUGGUGGAAUCGAAGAAGACCGAAACGGUACAUUCACCACUCGUCACCUAUGCUUCUAUGAUAUCUCUUCUCACACUUGCUCCUCCUUUCGUCAAUCUACUGUAAGUCUACUUAGUUAAUUAAUUAAUAAUUUCAAACAAAUUAGUAGAUCUAAUUAAUAAUUGAAUUGAAGAUGGUAUACAAUGACGACGGCUAUGGAUGGAUCAAUUUUGAAGACAUUUGAUUAUUUGAACAAUAAUGGUUUACAAGGUUUUCUUAAUCUAUGGCCUAAACCAACACUUCUCUCUUUCCAAAUUAUUGUUGUUUAUGCUGCAUUUGAAGCUUUACUUCAGCUUCUUCUUCCUGGGGAAACUGUUUACGGUCCUAUUUCUCCCACCGGUAACCGCCCUUUCUAUAAGGUAUGUAUGUCUCUUUCUCUUUCUCUUUUUAUUACGGCGUUUACAUCUUACUUAUAAGACUGGGUUUUACUGUUUGGGACAAACUAUGGGGCAAGUGUGAGAAGAUAAGAACAAGACAAGACAAAUACCAAAAUAACUUUUGUCUAUCAAACAUCGUAUAAGACGAAAACGUUGUUUAAUACAAUACUAGUUUGUCUUGUGUUGUUCUGUUUUUAUUAUUUACCUUUUAAUAGAUAUAACACAACCUAUGUGUUACGAUUUAAUUAUUGGAGGCAUGUGUAAAAUAAUUUUACAUCGUCGAUGCGUACAAAUUAAAUACAUACAUACAUUUUUUCUUAUUAAUUUAUUGUAGUAACAAGUUGCGUCGUUGUUUGUAUUUCUUCAGGCAAAUGGUGUUGCUGCAUAUUUAGUUACUUUGGUUACUUACGUUGCACUUUGGCGGUGAGUUCUUAUGGUUCUGCGCUUAUUAAUUGAAAGGAGAAAAGUAACAAAGAAGAUAGGACUUCAUUCGCUACGAAGCAUUGACACUUAUACUAACAUUUGGACAUCUGUAAUAAUUUGAGAAAAUAAACUAAUUGAAUGUAUUGACAUCUGUCGGAGACACGUGUGGGACACUGGACACAAAUUCAUUCAAUAAGUUUCAGUGCUAGGAUUCAUUCAUUCAUUAUUGCCGAUUAAAUUGAUUUUUCAUUUCAUCUUGGAUGUUCUGUGAUGUUUUGUUUUUGAAAAUUCAAGUAGUAAUAAAUGAAUUGUUUGACCAAAAAUCAGCCAAUAUAUUCGUCCCACAAAGAAAAGAAAAUUGGCAUAGGAGAUCUGAAGAUAUAAUAUUGUUGUCUUCUAGGAAUAAGACUUUGUAUGAUCUUAGUUGUCAAAUAUGGCUGAUGUAUGUAUAUAUAUAUAUAUAUAUAUAUACAUAUGAUAGAACAAGAAGAAAAAAACAUUAGUCAUUGCUAGUCUUCUCAAUUAGUUAUCCUUUUGAAUUUCAAUUUGGAUGUUCUGUGUUGUUUAUGAAAAUUGGCAGAGGAGAUCUCACGACAUAAUAUUGAGUUGAGGUUCUCUCAGAAUUAAACUUGAUAUGAUGUCCUCCUAUGUAGCACUGACACUUCAAAUUGAAGUCGUGUAUGACAACGACACUGGUAAUUACAAACAGAUAUGAUCACUUCUAUUUGAUCAAAAUUUUCCCAGUGUGGCAGUGUCUAUGUGUUGGUGUUGGUACCGUAUCCGUGUCUGUGUCAAUGCUUCAUAGAUAAUGUAUGAUGGAUGGAUAUAUUUGGUAAAUCAAACAAAUAUCAUUAUUCAUUGCUAGUCUCCUCAAUUGGUUAUCCUUUUGAAUUUCAAGGCUUUAUGAAGAUAGGUUUAUAUGCUUUUAUAGGCUAAAAGCCUAAAACAUACUCUAAGAAACUAUGUUCAAAUUAUUAUGUGUUUUAUCUACAAGAAAGUUGUGUCACAUAAUAGGUUUUCCUUACAAAGCAAGAUGGUUUGCUUCUUUUACUUUUUCAAAAACAGUUGACAUGUAAUUUUUGCAUGUAUGUUUCAGGUUUGGGAUAUUCAACCCAACAAUCGUUUAUGAUCAUUUGGGGGAGAUAUAUUCCACACUCAGCUUUGGGAGCUUUAUCUUUUGUAUUUUCUUAUACAUAAAAGUGAGACUGUUGUGAAAUUGAAGAAAUGAUAAGGUAUUUGUUUCCUGUGCAAUUUACAUUGGAUUUUCUGACUCAAGUGUUAUAUUUGAUAGGGUCAUUUGGCACCAUCUUCUACUGAUUCUGGUUCAAGUGGGAACAUAAUCAUCGAUUUUUACUGGGUAAACUAAUCUCUGCUUCUUAAUUUGAUUAAACUGCUCAACAAUUUUUUUGUCUUAUCCAUUUAUUUGCAUUGAAAAUUGACAUUGAUUUAAGAAAGAGAAUGUGAACGAUGGAAAAAAUUAAAAUAAAACUGAGUGAUAGCAUGAAAAAUCUCUCUUGUCUGAUUACUGGCGUCAUGCCUUUAGAGGAUCAUUGAUGCAACAAACCUUUCUUUAAAAUUACCGCCUCUCAUUCUAAACCAAGUAGGCACCGAUAAUGCAUGGAAAAUUCUUUUAGAAUUACCCAUCCUUUUGUUUAAACUGGUUUGACUGAAAUUCCGUUCAUAAUGCCACUAUGUGAACUUUGAAAUUCUUAUUGUAGAAAUGAAUGUUUCAACGUUUUAUGGCUGUAAUUUUCGUUUUCACCAUAUUACAAGAAAUUGUUUGAUAAACUAAAAUUCAUCCCUUGAGAUGUUUUUUUUUUAUAUGAAUAACAGGCCUAGACAUGUGGAGUUUAAUUCCACCUUUUUUCCAUAAAUGACGGCCUUCUAUCUUUCUGCCAUUCUGCAGGGUAUGGAGCUCUAUCCACGCAUUGGAAAAUAUUUUGACAUAAAAGUUUUCACAAACUGCAGAUUUGGAAUGAUGUCGUGGGCUGUUCUGGCACUUACUUACUGCAUAAAGCAGGUUGAGUCUACGAGGUUUUAUUCUUUGUAUAAAUACUGAAGUCAAGCAUAAUGAUUGUGCUAUCCAGCAUUUAGUUGGAAAACACAGAUGAAUAAUCCUUUAAAUACCUAUUUGUAGUUAGAAACAGUUUGAACGUGGGGACCUUGGUGAUUAGGUGGCCAAUCAAGCUCCAUAGAAGCUGAGGCCAUCUACUUUUGAGUUUUUUUUGUCUUCUGAGAAGAUCUAAUUUAUGAUAGGGAUAUAAAUCAUAUUUAUAUGUGGUUGGACUUCCUUAGUUGUUUUGGAUAUAGUGGCCAGUUGGUAUUGACUUAUUACCUCCAUGAACAUGAUCUUACUAGUAUAUGAAUCAGGAACAUAAAUUUAUUUUGUAAUUUUGUUUUGUGAAAUUUCCAUCCUUUGGUUAACUCUCUAUUGUUCGUAUUCUUGUCUUAAUAGUAUGAAGAAAAUGGGAAGGUAGCUGACUCAAUGCUUGUAAAUACUACAUUAAUGCUGGUGUAUGUUACCAAGUUUUUCUGGUGGGAAGCUGGAUACUGGAACACAAUGGAUAUUGCACACGAUCGAGGUCUGCACAUAUGUUUUAUCUUUGUUUUUGUUGACAUACUUGCUCUUUCCUAUCGUUAUGCUGAUAUGUUCUUUUGGCGUCAUUAGUUUUCAUAGUUUAUUAAGUUUAAGAUCAAGAUCAUAUCUUCCAUAACAACUGUAUUUCAUUUAUCAUGUUUGGAUUAGUUUUCAUAUAUUAUUGAUAAGUUCAUUGUAUACAUUGUAUUUAAACCUCUUUAUCGUGUCCCUAAAUCUUGCAGCUGGAUUUUAUAUUUGUUGGGGCUGUUUGGUUUGGGUUCCAUCAGUGUAUACAUCUCCUGGAAUGUACCUUGUCAACCAUCCAGUGAAUCUUGGCACCCAGGUACCAUCCCUUUCCUGUUUGAGCUGUUGUUUUGUGGUAGUUAUUUAUACCGCAGAGUUUUCCUUAUUUCUAAUAUACUUUUCAAAUUUCAAUGUUUUCCACUUUUUUUUGAAAAUUAGCUUCCUUGUCUUUCAGCUAGUACUCUUUAUUUUAGUGGCUGGCAUUAUGUGCAUAUACAUCAAUUAUGAUUGUGACAGGCAAAGGCAAGAGUUUCGUAGGACAAAUGGAAAAAGCUUGGUCUGGGGAAAAGCUCCAUCAAAGAUAAAGAUGCGUAGAAUAUACUGGGUUACUAUUUUUCAUUUGAAAUGUACUUUCUAUUUUCUAUAUAAUGCAAGUCAGAUUGGGAAUCUUAUUGUCGUGAGACUUGCAUAAGGUAUUCAUAAUGAAAAUGUACUUGCAGAUAGAAGCCUCAUAUACCACUUCUUCCGGGGAAACAAAAAGAAGCCUUCUUUUAACCUCUGGAUGGUAUGUAUCCCUUAAAAACAUUCUAUUUUUGAAGCAUAUGUAAACAUACUUAAACACUAAGUUGUUGUAAUGAUUGAGAGAGCUUAAACUCACUAUUUUUUGGGGUGGAUUCCAGACAUUUGACUUAAAAUGUGUUACAAUCUGAUAUUUAUUGUUUGCCUCCAUAUAGAAAUAUUAUUGCUAACUAUAGGUUAUACAUCCUUUUAAAAAAGAAAACAAUAGUUUAUGCAUUUAAUCUCAUAAUAUAUAUUUGAUUUUUCUAGUUGGCCCAACAUUUUCUUAGAGAACAUGUCUUAUUUCUCAAAGUAACCAGUUCACUUUUUCCGUGCUACCUGCAGGUGGAGAUUAGCUCGUCAUUUUCAUUAUGUACCUGAAAUACUAGCUGCAUUCUUCUGGACAGUCCCAGCUCUUUUCAAUCACGUAAGAAGAGUGUUUAUUUCUCUGUACAGUUGAAAGUUGUAGAGAAUGUUAACCUUAACAACUUUUUUACUAUGCAGUUCUUGCCUUACUUAUACGUGAUAUUUCUUAUUAUCCUUCUUUUUGAUCGAGCAAAAAGGGAUGAUGAUCGAUGCAGAUCCAAGUAAGCAUUAUUUUCUAUCUAUUAGUGUUGCUUAUAGUUCUUGGACAUUUUAUUUUCAAUGUGCAGAGAGAACCACAGAUGCUCUUUUUGUCAUAUCAUUCUAUUCUUACAAACAGUUUGCUUUAUGAGUCAUGGCGGUGCAUGUUUGGAUCGGUUGUGAGUUUGUCAAAAUCAAGUUAGCACCAUGAUUUUGUUGAAGCUUUAAAAUGUAGUUUUUGCUAAACUCAUAAUGCCAACAGCCUAAAUUGUAAUAUAUACGCUUUAUUUUUCAUAUCUAUAGGAAACCAAUGGCCUACCGUUUCAACCAGAUUUGGCCUGUCUCUGAAAUAUACAAUUCAUAAUGCCACUGCAAUGCAAUAAAUAAUUGAAUGGAUAGAUUAUUGAAAACCAAAUUUAUUUAUCAUUGCAUCAACUGAACUUUUUAUUACCAAUGGAUUAGGAAAUUUGAUGGUUCUAGGUCAUUACAAUGUACAUGUAGUUAAAAAUUUCCAUUGCAUGCAGGUAUGGAAAGUACUGGAAACUCUAUUGCGACAGGGUAGCUUACAGAAUUAUUCCAGGAAUAUAUUGAUGAUGACGUGUCUGGAAUCCUAUCCUUCACUUGGUGCCAUGUUUACCUAUUUUUGUUUACUGCCUCUGCCACUUAAGAUGCAAUGGUAAACUUUAGCUGUAAGAAAUAAUUCAGUAAUUAUUGAACCUUAUUUUGUAAGUGAAUGUUAUGAUUUAAAAUGGUUCUCGAGCUGUUUAUCAAUUAUGCUUUAAAGAAAUAGUUUUGUUUCGCUGCCCAUAAAUAGAAAUCUCCCUCAUUUUUCUUGACAUAAUUAUCCGCCAUGGAGUCCUUGUAUAUAUGAGCUAGAAAUUCAGCUGGUUCUGCAUUAAUCCAAUCGGGAAUUAAGAACAAUUAUUGAGUAAACAUUAUUUUCACUAUUUUCACAGUGUGUUGCGAUUAAAACUAGUAGCUUGAGUUGAUCGCAUACCGCAGUUCCAAACACACAAUUAGACGGCAGUUACAGAACUUGGAGUGCAGGGCUAAUGGAUGACAUUUUAGUGGGGAAUUAUCCUGGGAGUUGUUGAGACUUUUGUAGUAUUUGACAUGCGAACAGAACAGAACAAAUGUUCUGUUUUUCUUGGUUUCAUCUUUUCAAAGGAACCAAAAUGUAUUUAUUUAUUUACCUUAUAUCCUGAUUUAUUUAAUUUUAUCAUGUACCCUGCUCUAACUUAUCUACCAAAAGCCACACCUACAUUUGGCUGGCUUGAUGGAGCAAAAUCUGGCUGCUGCUGCCUGCUGUUGUGUUGGGUAAUUAGAUUUAGGAGGGAAAAGUGCUGGUGAGGUUGUCAGGUUGUAGAUGAUUUUUUAUAUUGUCUUUAAAGCUCAAAGACCAGAUGAGAUCUAUACAAGUUUUUACGACUCCUGAACCACCGAUGAGUUGGCAAUAUUUUUUAAAAUAUUUCUAUGAUAAAUGUUAUAUGGCAUUAACUCUUCUCACUUCCAAAAUCACCUUAGAUGUACACAUCUGAAAACAAACACAAUUUUUGUGCCGUCCGGAUGUGUACUACAAAAAUACAGUUUUUCUUAGGUCCGAAAAUAUGCUUCCAGAGGUUUAAUUAUAAAUGUGGAGAGUGGUUGAACUUGUUUUCUUAUGAUAAUAUAGUACUAUAAGACUUUCUUAUGAUAACCCUGCAUGUUAUUGUAUGGAUCAUUUACAACCGUUACACAGUGCUGAGACAUGCAGAACAGUCAGAUUUAAAGAGAGUCCCUCAAUAUUUCAGUUUAGUCAAUAAAUGUAAUGUGAAAUAUGAUUGGAAUAAACAAUUCAUUGCCACAAGUUUGAAAGGUAUGGCGGGACUCUGCAGUUUAUUCCCCUCUGCACUUGGUUGGGAAUAUGCUGAACAGAACCAGACUUUGUAUAAAUAUAUACGUUAAAUUACACCAGAGGUCCUUUAAUUAAAUAACUUAAAGAACUUCUGAUGUAAUUUUGCCAAAUAUAUAUGAUAUGUUCACAAAAUUCAAGACUUUACUCAGUAUUAUGUUUUUUUGGUAUGAAGUCUUAUGGUACUAUAUUACGAAAGAUGAGACAUACAAUAUAGGUCUAGAUUUAUAAAUAGAUUGGACUAAGUUGAGCUAUUACAAAGUUUAAUUUUGAUUUAUUUGGCAUGGACUAUCCCACUGCUAAGAACCACAGGUAGUUGCACCCUGUUCUGAUAUUAAUGGCAGUCCUUGUUAAGUAGGUUUGCAUUUACUCCUGCCUUGACCGCUGCACACCAAGUUUGAAAUGAGAAGCAAGGAAAUGAAAUAUUUACUGCAUUUCAGACACUUGCUAAAUUUAUACUCCACAGUGACAAAACUAUGGACACAUGUCUUAGACACUCACGAAAAUGCAAAAUAUAGAAUUAAUUUUUUUGGUUAUUUUUUAAAUAAUUAAAAGAAAUUUCAUCAAAAUAAUAAUUAAAAUAAUAAAAUGUAUAAUUAAUAUUUUGUGAGUGUACCUAUAAUUUUAUGUUUGAUCUUGUGACCAUAUAAGAAUAAUCCAAUAGAUAUUCAAAAUAGUCGAUAAAUGAAAGAAUGAUAAUAUUUUUAUAAACUUUCUCUUUGACGGAAUGAAAGAAAUCUUUAUCAAUUCAUAGUUAUCACAAGUAUGAGCAAUGCACCUAUAUUGAAAAUGACACUUAUGUUGGAGUAUAUUUUUAUCUCUUCCUCCAUUUUGUUCCUUGUCAAAUGUAUCAUUCAGAUAGCACAUGACAUCAACUCAUUAACCUUUUAGUGCAUGUUUGAUAUCACGGUUAAUUUGUCAAAAUCUUGGUAUCAAACAUGCGCUCACUAGUCCGCUAGCUAUGAGGUGCUCCCUAGCUGCCAUAUUCCUCCAAUACAAAUUCAACAUAACAUUCUGUGUGUAUAUACAGUUUUCGACUUUUAUAGUUUCUUUUUUCUCUUAUCGGUCACACACAUUCAAAUUGUUUUUUAUGCAAUGUCAGAUUCUAUGUCUAAUUUUUGUGUGUCUAGACAACACAACUCUUCAACAUUUUAAAGAAAUAAUUGAAAAAACUUUGUAAGAUAUUGUCAUACAUGUCGAGUUCAAAGUGUAAAUUCGAGUCCUUUGUUACAUGACACAACAAUGUUGCCAAGUUUUUAUCGACUUCGAACUUGAUAUUCAAAUAUUUUAUUCCAGCAUCUUCUAUGUUCCUUUGCAUGCUGUCUUGUAAAAAUCGAGUGAUAAUAUCAUAGCUUCAUAAUUUUUUAUUUUAUUCCUAUGCCGACAUAUAAACCUGUUUUUGACAAUUAUUAUGUUGUUGUAACAUGUGCAAAGAAACAAAACCAACCGAGUCUUUUCCAUAAAAAGUAAUAAACCGUGGUUAUACUGACACAGUUACACUUUUACACUAUGGGAAAAUCUAGUACUUUGGUUCAUUCUUCUAGAUUUUUUCUUCUUCUUCUUCUUCUUCUUCUCAAUGUCACUGUUUCUGAAGCAUCCCCAACAGAAGAAUCAGUGUACACCUCAUUUCUUGAGUGUUUAACAAACCACACAAACCCUUCAGACCAAGUCUCCAACAUACUCUUUUCUCAAACCAAUGUUUCUUUUUCUUCUAUUCUCCAAGCAUAUAUUCGUAAUGCUCGAUUAAACAAAACUUCAACACCAAAACCCUUACUAAUCAUUACUCCUCUGCAACAAUCCCAUGUUCAAGCUACCAUACUUUGUGCCAAAGCCAUUAAAAUUCAACUCAAAGUAAGGAGUGGUGGCCAUGACUUUGAAGGUAUCUCAUAUGUCUCUAACCAACCCUUCAUUAUUCUUGACAUGUUUCAGUUCAGGAACAUCACUGUUGACAUACAAAAUGAGGUUGCUGUGGUUCAGUCUGGUGCUAUACUUGGUGAGGUUUAUUAUAGGAUAUGGGAGAAGAGUAAAGUUCAUGGCUUUCCUGCUGGGGUUUGUAUUACUGUUGGUGUUGGUGGUCACUUGAGUGGUGGAGGGUAUGGUAACAUGAUGAGAAAAUUUGGGUUGUCUAUUGAUAAUGUUGUUGAUGCUGAAAUUGUUGAUGUUAAUGGUAGGAUUCUUGAUAGGAAAUCAAUGGGUGAAGAACUUUUUUGGGCUAUUAGAGGAGGUGGAGGAGCAAGUUUUGGAGU